UACGUAGGGUGCGAGCGUUGUCCGGAAUUAUUGGGCGUAAAGAGCUUGUAGGCGGUUUGUCGCGUCUGCCGUGAAAAUUCGAGGCUCAACCUCGAACUUGCGGUGGGUACGGGCAGACUAGAGUGUGGUAGGGGAGACUGGAAUUCCUGGUGUAGCGGUGAAAUGCGCAGAUAUCAGGAGGAACACCUAUUGCGAAGGCAGCUCGCUGGGACGUAACUGACGCUGAGACGCGAAAGCGUGGGGAGCAAACAGG
rnacentral:rRNA from 1 species